rnacentral:misc_RNA from 1 species
GAUAAUUUAGGCCAGAAUCCCUCCAUACAUUAAAAAUCAUUUUCUCAACAAUCUAGUAUAAAAUGGCAAAAGAAAAAUUUCUGAGAAUUGCUUGAUACUCGACCAUUUGCCCCAAUAUUAUUAUAUCCUUUCGGUAGCUAGGGCUUGAAAAUGAGAAUAAUGGCUGAUUGGUCGGAGCUUAACCGUGAACUGUUGGUUGUAAUUGUAAGACGUAUAAAGCUGAUUGAGGAUUACCUUAAUUUCCGCACUGUUUGCAGAUUGUGGCACUCUGUGGCCACCAAGG